UGAUCCCACCCGCCCCUCCCCGGAGUCUCCACGCGGCCCAGUUUGGAUGCCAGAAAUAUGGAUCUCCACAUCUCCUGGAAGACUGGAGCGGUGCAUAUUCUCAUUUCAAAAAUAGCCAGAGGUGCUGCACUGAAGCCUACCACCACUAUCAACUUUUGACAUAUCAAGGUCAAUAUUCAGGGCUCAUAAUAGAAAGAAGGAAGAUUAUCUAGGAGUGAAACAUCCCCUGAACUGGAUGCUGGACCAGAGCAGAGACUGGGGAGAAGCUGGUAUAUAGUGGGAUUAGAGUGCAUUAAAGAGAAAUCGCUUUUUAUUUUACUCUCCCUUUCAAAAACA